AGGGGGCGGGCUAAUCAUGCAGUCGAGCGAAUGGAUAAGAGCUUGCUCUUAUGAAGUUAGCGGCGGACGGGUGAGUAACACGUGGGUAACCUGCCCAUAAGACUGGGAUAACUCCGGGAAACCGGGGCUAAUACCGGAUAACAUUUUGAACCGCAUGGUUCGAAAUUGAAAGGCGGCUUCGGCUGUCACUUAUGGAUGGACCCGCGUCGCAUUAGCUAGUUGGUGAGGUAACGGCUCACCAAGGCAACGAUGCGUAGCCGACCUGAGAGGGUGAUCGGCCACACUGGGACUGAGACACGGCCCAGACUCCUACGGGAGGCAGCAGUAGGGAAUCUUCCGCAAUGGACGAAAGUCUGACGGAGCAACGCCGCGUGAGUGAUGAAGGCUUUCGGGUCGUAAAACUCUGUUGUUAGGGAAGAACAAGUGCUAGUUGAAUAAGCUGGCACUACCUGAUCAGAAAGCCCCGGCUAACUACGUGCCAGCAGCCGCGGUAAUACGUAGGGGGC
rnacentral:rRNA from 1 species